rnacentral:rRNA from 1 species
AUUGAACGCUGGCGGCAUGCCUUACACAUGCAAGUCGAACGGCAGCACGGGAGCAAUCCUGGUGGCGAGUGGCGAACGGGUGAGUAAUGUAUCGGAACGUGCCCAGUCGUGGGGGAUAACGCAGCGAAAGCUGUGCUAAUACCGCAUACGAUCUAAGGAUGAAAGCGGGGGAUCGCAAGACCUCGCGCGAUUGGAGUGGCCGAUAUCAGAUUAGCUAGUUGGGGGGGUAAAGGCUCACCAAGGCGACGAUCUGUAGCUGGUCUGAGAGGACGACCAGCCACACUGGAACUGAGACACGGUCCAGACUCCUACGGGAGGCAGCAGUGGGGAAUUUUGGACAAUGGGCGCAAGCCUGAUCCAGCAAUGCCGCGUGCAGGAUGAAGGCCUUCGGGUUGUAAACUGCUUUUGUACGGAACGAAACGGUCUGGGUUAAUACCCUGGGCUAAUGACGGUACCGUAAGAAUAAGCACCGGCUAACUACGUGCCAGCCGCCGCAGUAAAAC